CCUAACAAGAACUUUUGUAAAUCAUCUUUCCUGGCAAUGGAGUAUAGAGAUUAGGGGACCAACUGUAUCAUCAUCCACAGCUUGAUAUGACCCCCAGCUCUGCCAGUGGCUAGCUGGGUGACUUUGGGCAAGUUACUUAAGUUCUCUGCACCUUCUUACCCUGCCUCUAACAUGACGAUCGCCCCAGCACCUACCUCAUAGGCCUAUUAGGAUAAAUAAAUAAUGCAUGUCAAGAGCUGAGCACAGGGCAUGGCUCACAGGAAGCAUUUCAUAAGGGUUAACUCGUGACUACUUUUUAUUGGCAUAAUACUUAAAGGUUGACCUUAGUAAUUUAUCUUGAUUUUCAUACCUGUAAAAUUUGAAUGAACAAAUGUGGUAAGACUAAAGGGUUUACUGCAAAUUUUCUAGAGAAUAAUUGGUUCCCUAAGUGAUCAGAAACAUUUGCUAAGGAUAACAUGAGGAACGACAGGGAGAAAUAUCACAUAGGGCUAAUGAAAAGGCAGAAUCUCUGAAUGGAGAUGAACACUCCUAGAUAUUGUGAGAUAAACCAAAAAGCGGGAGAGUGUGAUUGAACUUGUGCAUCAGUGAUUAGCGUUGGAUAGGAUUAGCAUGCAUAAACACAGACUUUUUGGAAAAGCCCCUUGAAAAGCUAUCAGAACUAAAAUAUGAUAAUAGUCAACACAGUCUGGCCACCAGAUGAGGUAUUCUGCUGUUUGAUAAAUUUUAUAAAACUGCAGACCUUAUUUUAAACUAUGUGGAACUAUUCCAAGGACUGAUUGCAGAGUACAUGAAUAGGUAUGUGUGUCUGAUAAAAUAGCUGAAAUAAGGACAGGAUUGGAAGGACAUUGAAGUAAAAUUGGCACGUGUUGUUCCACAUCUAAAGGCUGGAAGCCAUUUGGGCAGAGGCAGAAUCUCGGCUCAGAGUCUAGCCCUGCAGGACCCAGUGUGGCAGCUGCGUGUCUCUGGAGCACUGGAGACGAGGCUACUGCAAAUUAAGAUCUGCUGUAAAGAGCAUCUUCCUGGUUAUUCUCUGGGACGCAAAACCAUGGUGGCAUCUGAUCUCAUCACACUUCUGCCAGGAGGUGAAAUCGAAGAGGCUACAUUCUUGAUGCUCAAUGUCUUCUUCAGGUCAUUUGCCUGAGGAUACCUGGGGAUACUGAGACCCUAGAUUUUUUUUCCCCUGACUCAACUAGACUGUCCUCAGCAGCUGAGAGAAGUGUUGUUGGCCAACAUAACACAAAAGAGGCAAAGAAAGUAGAAAAGUGAUGUAAUCUGAAGCCAUGUGGAGUCUGAGGCCAAGAAAUUGUGAUGGAAAAACACCAGGGAUCCUCACCUUGACUAUGACCCAGCUUUGAGUGUUGAAACGGAGUGUGUGAAGACACUGCACAGUUCUUUGGCGAACGGGCUAGUUGGAUUAGCAACCUUCUGCUUGGAGAAGCUUCUGCCACUGCUUCUAUGAAAAGAAAACAUUUGGAAGAUCACUGAUUCCUUCAUGGAGAGGCUGACUUGGGAAUAGAUGACGUGUCAAAGAUUGGCAUCAACCUUGAGUGCUUAUUUGUGGACUUGAGAUACAGAUAAAAAAAAAAAAACCUCCCUAGAGUUAGGGCUACUUGGGAUACAUGCUAUAUCCCAAGGAGUUCUCAGUUUGAGGUCAGCCCCAGCUCUACAACUCACCAGGAGAGUGCGCGAGGAUGAGGGAGAGACAGCCUGCUCUGGUUCUCUUCAAGGUGACAAUGACACCUGUUGACAGUUGAGAAUUCCAGCCAGGAAUACAGAUUUAGGAAUCAUGUUUCUCACUCUCAUGAUGACAUAGAAGAGAUGCGUCUGAAUCUUUCUGCCAGUGUGUUAAAGCUAUUCUGAUAUUGACUGUAGUUCUGAGCUUUGUCUCUAUCCCACCAAACCACUAACUUCUUGAAAUUACUUGUAGACCAAGAUGAGAGGACUCCGUGUGUGGCUCCAUAUGAAUGACUUAUCGUGCCUGUCCAGAGGCAGGGAAAGGAGAAACAAUCUUAUUUGAGAAGGGAGGAUAUCACUGCGGUGGUUGUGAAAUCGUGUUUGGAAGCUAGAUUGCUCUAGACCACUAAGCUCUCUUCAUGUGACAAAGAAACUUCCUAAAAUACUAAAAGCUAAAGGAGAUUGUUAUCUAAGCUUGAGAUGGAAGGUUGCCAGCAGAAACUUGGAGGAUCACAGCCAGUCGCCUGGGAUUGACCACAGGCAGUGGCAGAGGCAGAAGGCAAAAGACCAGUUGCAAUUUUCCAGGUAAAAGAUGGAGGCUGUUGCAAUAAUCCAGAAUCCUGAAUUGAGCCUGUGUUCCCAGUUCCUAGAAACCCUCAAGGUUAUUGGUUUCCUCCUCGCUUAACAGACCAGUGGAAGAAAUCUACCUCCAGUUCUAUCUUCACAUGAGCAACUGUUUACAGUUUACAAUAUUACUCUGAAAAUCAGUUCUUUUCAAGUUUUAUCUAACACCCACCAGAAGAAACAGAAGAUUAUGAAAAUGGAAUUUGUCAAAGUUCCUCUCCCAACAAUAUGAUAUUUAAUUUUGCUAACAUUUUUUUUGAACACUUACUAUAUUGCAGACAAUGGUCUAAGUAAAGCACUUUAUGUGCAUCCUAUCAUGUCAUCAUCACACAGCCCUGUGAGGUAGAUACUAUUAUUAUUAACUACAUUUCACAUUAAAAAAAACUGAGGCUUAGAGAGACUAAGUAAAUUUUCCAAGGUCACACAGCCAUGAAGUGGCAGAGCUGUGGUUAAAACCUAUGUCUGUCUGAAGUUUAAGAUUUUGCUGUUAGCAUUACUUUGAAAUGACAAUAUGAGGGCAUUUUAUGUAUUUUUUUGCCCCAAUAUGAUCUGCAGAAACUAUGUAUUUUAAGUACUACAUUUCUUUUAUUUACCAAAUUAUUGUCAGAUAAGAAACCGAAAUAAAAGUUUACAGGGUCUAGGAUUCCUCCAUAAUGAAUGAACUUUGGGGUAUUUCAGUGACAAAUCGGCUUUAACACGAUCAAAUUCCAUCCUACAAUGAAAGUGUGUUAGUUUGUGGUUUCAAGUUUAAAAACAGCACUGUAUUGUCUUCCAGAAAUAUAUAAAUAGAAAUUCAAUAAGUAUUUCAAUGAAUACAGAUAAAAUUAGUUUUGUUAGAACAUCAAAUAUGUGGGUUUCAUUUCUUAGCUCAGCUUAGAAACUGUAAUUUCAAUUUUUUUUAGCAGCUGUGGUAAAUUUUGAGAUUUGAAAUUUCAUAUAAUAUAAAUCCUCAUUUAUUGAGCAUUUAAAUUAUAUGCCCAACAAUUUACUGUGUACAUUACUUCACUUGUUCUUAACUAUAACUCUAUAAAAUAUUAUUGUCCUUGAUUUAUAGAUGAAGAUAUUGAGACUCAGUUAAGUAACUUGCUUGAAAUUCAAAAACGUUAACUGUGGAAGGCAGUAUUUGAACCCAGUGUUCAAAACCCCAUGCUCUUUUUAUUAUAUGACCUUAUUUCCUAUUCAGUCUUCAGAAGAUAUAUUGUCUUAUUAGAUUAUUCUCGUUCUCUAAAUAAGUGACCUUGGGCAACUAUCUUUUUCCCUGGUAUUUUCCCCUGCCUUUAAAACAAUGUGAUCAAACUGGAAGUUUUUCAUGAUCUCUCUUAGCCCUAAAGCUCCUUGGUUCUGUAAUUCCACAAAUAGCCCAUUUCAAAAAUAAUUCUACAGUAAUCAGUGGGACUCCUGUUUUUCUCAUCUUUUUUUUUUUGAAACAGAAAAUUGAAACUUUUAAAUUAGUUUAGUAAAUACAUCUACUAGUUUUUUUCUUUUAUAGUCAUGGUUAUAUUAUUUGGUCCUUCUUAGUUGCAACAUGUUUCCUUGCUGUCAAUUAUAAUACCUCUCAUCAACAAUAGCCUGAAGAAAUAGAUUUGAAUUGCUUUCCCUAAUUUAUAGCUGGAAAACUAGGCUAUGCUGGUAUCUUAAAUUGACUUUCCUGAGGUCACGGGCACUCAGUGCCAAGAAGAGUUGGUACCUAUGCAUUUGAAAUUUCUGGAUUUCUGGUCUUACUCUGUACUUAGUCACUCUUUUCUUUCAUUUGGCCCUAUGGUGGGCAAACUACAGCCUACAGGCCAAUUCCAGCCUACCAUCUGUUUUUGUAUGGUCCAUGAACUAAGAAUGGUUAUCACAUUUUAAAAUGGUGGGAAAAAAAGACUAUUUUGUGACAUAAAAAUUAUAUGAAAUCCAAAUUUCAGUGUCUAUAAAUUUUGUUGGAAUAUAGUUACCACACUCAUUCUUUUAUGCACUGUUUUUGGCUAGUUUUCUGCCUCAACAGCAGAGUUGAGUAGGUGCAACCAAGACUGUAUGGCCUACAAAGCCUAAAAGUUUGUUAUAGAAAAGUUUGCUGACCAACUCUAUUCGUUGCUUAGUAUUGCUAGGCACUCUGCAAGUCACAGGGAACACAGCAAACUAGACACAUGACUGCCUUGGGCUUAAGAAGAGGUUUCUAAACUUUUGAAUAAAAAACAAAACAAACAACAAACAAAGUUGGAGGGACAUAAAACUUCCAAAUAUUAAUUUUGCCAGUGGGGUUUGUUUGUUUUUUUGUUUGAGAUGGAGUCUUGCUCCGUCACCCAGGCUGGAGUGCCAAUGGCGCGAUCUCGGCUCACUGCAACCUCUGCUUCCUGGGUUCAAGCAAUUUUCUUGUCUCAGCUUCCAGAGUAGCUGGGAUUACAGGCACCCGCCACCACGCUUGGCUAAUUUUUUUGUAUUUUUAGCAGAGACGGGUCUGGUCUCGAACUCCCGAUCUCAGGUGAUUCGCCCAGCUCCGUUUCCCAAAGUGCUGGGAUUACAGGCAUGAGCCCCAGUGGGUAUUUCUUAAAAACACAGCUACUAUUUUCACUCAUCAUUUUAUUUAAAAAAGGAGUAUGUUAAUACAAAAAAGUAUAUUAAUGCCAAAUUUGUAGGAAGAACAUAAUCUCAAAAAGCACUCUUUCAAAUGGAAUAUAUUAAGCUUCAUGAAAAACUUUACAUGGUCAUUGUUUUUCUCAUUUCAUUAUGGAUCAAAGUAAACUUUCUAGACUGGCCUAUAUCAUCAGACCAGCUUUGGGAAGCACAGGAGUAGUUCACAUUGUUACUUUUCAGGCAAAACAAUCUUUAAAAAUGUUUAGUCUUUAUAGUGAUAGAAUGCUUUAGUUUGAGAAUUUAACAGCUAGUAGCUUUUUUUUUUUUUUUUUUUUUUUUUUUUUUUGAGAUGGAGUCUCGCUCUGUAUCCCAAGCUGGAGUGCAGUGGCGCGAUCUCGGCUCACUGAAACUUCAGCCUCCCGGGUUCACGCCAUUCUCCUGCCUCAGUCUCCCAAGUAGCUGGGACUACAGGCGCCCACCACCACGCCCGGCUAAUUUUUUGUAUUUUUAGUAGAGAUGGGGUUUUACCAUGUUAGCCAGGAUGGUCUCGAUCUCCUGACCUCGUGAUCCGCCUGCCUCAGCCUCCCAAAGUGUUGGGAUUAUGGGUGUGAGCCACUGCGCCAGGCCAACAGCUACUAACUUUUUUAAGUCAAAAAUAGAAAUAUAGUGAUGGGAAAUUCCAGAAAAGAAAUACAAAGGAAAAUGGGGAAGUAAAGAAAUCUGCCAAUAUUCACUCUCCCCUAACAGACAUUGUAUCCCAUUAGCCCUGUGUUUAGAUGGAGGAUAAUCCAUUUUAGCAUUGAUUUUUCAUCCUGGCUUCUCCAUAGACAAAAAGAAGAUCAGAAUACUUUAUCUAUUGAAAUAUUGCCCUCUUCACUGCCACUAAGCCACCUUCAACAAACACAUGCACUCACUAAAAACCACAGCAUCAUCUCAAAACCAGAGCCAUCAAAAGAAAUGUGAAUUCCCAUGGAUGAAAAGCCCAUCCAUCAAUAAGGAUUCGAAGUUGGGAAGUGAUAGUUUCCCACUUGCUUUAGAAAGUUUGCUAAUGCUUCAUGACAGACUGCCUAUUUUGCAAUAACUAAAAUGACAGAAGACUAGAAAUUAUCGCUUUAUCUUAUAUGUCCUUAUUCCUGCAGUCUAUGUUAGUGUUUAUGUCCUGAAUGCAUUUUUUUUUUUUUUUUUUUUUUUUUGAGACGGAGUCUCACUCUGUCACCCAGGCUGGAGUGCAGUGGCGUGAUUCCGGCUCAUUGCAACCUCUGCCUCCCAAGUUCAAGCAAUUCUCCUGCCUCAGCCUCCUGAGUAGCUGGGAUUACAGGCAUGCGCCACCACGCCCAGCUAAUUUUGUAUUUUUAAUAGAGAGGGGAUUUCACUAUCUUAGCCAGGCUGAUCUCGAACUCCCGAUCUCAAGUAAUCCACCUGCCUCAGCCUCCCAAAGUGCUGGGAUUACAGGCGUGAGCCACCACACCCUCCUGAAUGCAUUUUAUAGAACACUAUGCAUAGGAUGUAAUGUUUGGGGGAAAAACAUGAUUCUGUGCUCAAAGAACUACGAGAAAUACUUGGUUAAGCAAAAUCUCAAGGAUUACUUAACACAGGAUUUCUCAGGAUCUAUAAUAUGCUAUUGUCCAUUUAAAGCAUAUACUCAUGUAUAAGAUUCAGAGGCAAGAAAGAGAGCAAGGCACAUAGGAAUGCUUGAGUUUAGGUUACUGAAGUGAACUACUUUAUUUGGCCAUUUUAGCACCAACAAUUAUAGAAGAAUAGGCCAAUUAUUUUUAUUGACCCAGAUAAUUCUGGGUCUCUGUUGAAAUUGUCUUUGAUAGUUUUCUGGUUUCAUAUCAGCUUUUGAACAGUUUAUUUUUAUCAAUAGAUUGUCAUUUUUCUUAAAUACUUUUCCUCAUUUAAUACAUAUUCCUGCCCUGUAAAUGCAGAUAUCAUCUUUUAAUGUUUAAGAAAUCAUCCUUAAAACUAUGAUUUUCUAAUGUGAAAACUGCCUAAGGACCAUGGAUUAAUGCAGCUGCUGAAAAUCCAAGAGGAGGUGAAACAAUAGGUUUUAUAAUUAAUGCAUUUAUCAACUAGAGUAGUUUUGACUUUGAGUAACAGGAAACCCCAUUAAUGUAGCUUAAACAAAUAGGUUGUUUUUUCCCUCUUUAUGUGAUGAGUAGUUGGGAGGUGGGUACUCUGGAGGUGGGUGUUGUGGCUCGUGGGUGUCACCAAGCUACCUGGCUCCCUCUGUUUUCCCAUCCAGCCAUCCUUAGCAUGUGGUAUUCAUCUUCAUGACUGCAAGAUGGCUGCUGCUGCUCCAUGCAUUGCAUCCACAUUCAAGGCAAAAGGAAUAGGGAAAUGAAGGAAGCAGAAGGUGUGUGUCAGCAGUUGUCUCUUUAUUAAAAAAAAAACAACAACAAAAAAACACACAAACCUUUCCAAAGCCCCAGCCAAUACACUUCCAAGUGUAUCUCAGUGGUCAGAAAAGUGGCACAUGGCCACCACCAGCUGUGUGAAAACCUAAGAAAUUAAAUUCUUUAGUUGGGCACAUUGGGGUUCUGCUAGAAACGUAACCUAAGUCUGGAGCCAGACUACCUUUUGAGAAUCUCAGCUCUGCCACUCAUUAGUUAUAUGAUUUUAGGUGAUUCAUUUCACUUGCCUCCCCUGUAAAGGGAGAUAAGAUAAUAAUAGGGUUGCUAAGUAUUAAUUGAGUUAAUAUUUUUAAAGUGUUUAGAACUGUAUCUGGUAUACAGUAAAUGUUAUAUAAGCACUUUCAAUAAAUGAGUAAGGUAAAGAGUGAAUAUUAGGUAGAAAAGUGGCAAGCAUGAAAUAAAUCAUGAAAACUGAAAAUAAAAAUAUUGCUAACAUGUAAAACUUGUGUAGAACAAAUGCUAUGAGUUUCACUAAUUUCUUGAGCCAAAGAAUGUUAAAUAGGUGCUGCUACCUCCCUUAAAGAACUAUGAGCCAGUGGCUUUAUGAGGAUAGAUUAUUCUUUUUUCUUUAAGGAAACUGAGAAUUUUAUGUCUGUUUCAAUCAACUGCUUCUACAUAAAUUGUAGGGCCUGUGAUUUAAAGCUAAAGCAAAUUAGAGGCUUGUAUAAUUAUUGACAUAUUUGGGACAUACCAGCAACAAGCCCUGGAAAACCACAUACAGCUCAUAAGGAGCGAUAAUGAGAUCGCUCCUCUGUCAUUCAUAUGUGAUCUCAUUCAAGUUUUAGGUGUUAGGCUAUUAUUAUUUAACAAUGUUUUUAGACAUAUAAAAUGUAUUUCUGUAGAUAUUUUAUAUGGAUGUAGUUAUUUAAGCCAGAUAGAUUUGAAUUCUAAGUCUAGCUCUAUCAGUAACUACAUUAGGCAUCUUACUUCUCUAAGCUUUAGUUUCCUUACCUGUAAAAUGGGGAUGGUAGCAGCAUCUAAUUCUCAGGAUUGUAGUAAACAUUAAAUAAAGAAAUGUAAUAGAGUGCUUAGCACAGAUCCCGUUACAUAGCAAAAGCUUAAUAAAUAUCAGCAUCACUGCCAUCAUCAUUAUUUUAUUAUUAUUAUUAUUUUUGAGACAGAGUCUCAUUUUGUUGCCCAGGCUGGAGUGCAGUGGUGCGAUAUUGGCUCACUGCAACCUCUGCCUCCCAGGUUCAAGCGAUUCUCCUGCCUCAGCCUUCCGAGUAGCUGGGAUUACAGACGUGUGCCACUACGCCCAGACAAUUUUUUGUAUUUUUAGUAGAGACGGGUUUUCACCAUGUUAGCCAGGAUAGUCUCGAUCUCCUGACCUCGUGAUCCACCCUCCUUGGCCUCCCACAGUGCUGGGAUUACAAGCAUGAGCCACCGCGCCGGGCCCAUCAUCAUUAUUUUUUAAAAUCAACCUUUAAUGAGGUUUACACACAAUAAAACGCACCCAUGAGUUUUGACAAAUGCAAUGCUUGUGUAACUACCACCAUAACUGAGAUAUAGAACAUUUACAUCAACCUUAAAUUGUUAUUUUAAAAUAGGAAAACUGGUAUCUUAUCUAGUAAUAAUAAAAAGGAGAAGUCACUGUGCAGCACAAAAUAUGGUAUCAACCAUAAAAAAGCAUGAAUAAGUGCUAACUAGAAUUAUGGGGCCAUGAGAAUGUGGCAGGAGGCACAUUCAUUGUGAGGGAGUUGGGGACAGGUCAAAUGCACUAUACAUUAUUUAUACAUUAUUGCUUCUGCCUGUGCAGCAGUGAUCCCCGUUUUCCCUGUUAAAUGCGCUGUGCUUGUCCUUUGGUGGAACAACUUCACCCCAGUACUUUACGUUUUUGGAGUGGGGCUGUUUUAUCCUUGACUCCAGUCUUGUCAUUUCUGUUGGAAUUCUUAGAAAACUCUCUUCCUGCUAAUAUUGCUGGGCGUAAUUUGGAGAAGCUGAGAGAGUCACUGAGACUGAAGCCACCACAGACAAAGGUCAGCUUGGGGAUGGAGAGAGAAACCUGUGCUGUUAUCAUCUUCUAGAUCCCCAGAGGCUGCCUUGAAGCUGGAUCUACCCCUGAACUUCUCAGUUACAUAAAGACCCAUGAAUGCUUCAUCAUGGAUCAGAUCUGUUCACAAGCUGGUGUUCAGGAACCAAUGUGUGACUGGCCCAUGCCCACUUCUGAUUAUAUGGACUCAGAGACAAUGUACAUGGGAGUGCUUUGCCAGUGGUAAAGUUUCUACAAAUGGGAGGUAAUUGCAUGGCAGGUGUAAAGUUAUUUGGACCAUUGAGGCCAGAAAAAAUGUAGAUUUAAAAUAUACUGAUACUGAAAGCAGAACUGUUUGAACUAAUUGCUAAUUUUAAGGAAUUCAGACAUUCAUCCAAAGGAUUUAGGCCAAAUGUUGCCUAAAUUGUUUCUCUAUUUCAUAUGAAAGUGAUUUCUGCGGCUUAACUGUUCUCUUCUAUUUAUGUGCAUGGCCAUAACUGAUGUUGUCACAUGAGUCCCGUUUCUUUCUUAUUAAACAUGUGUCCCGCUCAUUGAUGUUCAGCACCUUUGAAGUUCCAAUUGCUGUUCUAAGCUGGGGUUGCUGCAUUGAAUAAUACAAAAUCUCUACCCUUAUGAGCAGAUUUUCUGGGAAGAGAAAGACAACUGCACCCUCCAUGCGCCAGUUUCUGUACUGCUGCAUUCUUCUUUUUUUUUGAGACAGUCUCACUCUGUCACCCAGGCUGGAGUGCAGUGGUGCGAUCUCGGCUCACUGCAACCUCUGCCUCCCAAGUUCAAGCGAUUCUCCAGUCUCAGCCUCCCAAGUAGCUGGGACUACAGGCAUUCACCACCACACCCGGCUAAUUUUUUUACUUUUAGUAGAGACGGGGUUUCACCAUGUUGGGCAGCCUGGUCUCGAACUCCUGACCUCAAGUAAUCUGCCUGCCUAGGCCUCCCAAAGUGCUGGGAUUACAGGCUUGGGCCACCACACCCAGCCUGUAUUGCUGCAUUCUGAUUCUCUCUUUCUAGUAAUACUGCUGAAAGUGUGGGAGGUUUUUUGUGGAAAUUCCAGAUUAAAUUUAUGAGAAAUUUACACAUUAUUCACAUAUUUACAUAUUUGUCUGUGAAUGGGCAUAUUAAGUUAUAUGUUUGUGCCACACAGAGUUAUUAAUAUUAUCUCGGUAAGCUGGUUCAAGUUACAACUCUGGGCCUCAAUUUCUUAUCUGAAAAAAUGGGAACUAUCAUAGUACCAGUCUCACCCUGUAGGGAUUAUAUGCAUGUAAAUAAUUUUUUUGUUUGUUUUUUGAGACGGAGUCUCUCUCCGUCACCCAGGCUGGAGUGCAGUGGCACGACCUCAGCUCACUGCAAACUCUGCCUCCUGGGCUCAAGCAAUUCUUGUGUCUCAGCUUCCUGAGUAGCUGGGAUUAAAGGCGUGUGCCACUAUGCCAGCUAUAAAUGCAUGUAAAUAAUUUACCAUAGUGCCUGGCAUAAACUGAGAGCUUAACAAAUGAUAGCUGAUAUAUUAUUGUUGUUAUUAUUAAUACAUAUAUAUUAUUUUACGCA